rnacentral:lncRNA from 1 species
CAACUGCGUCUUCAAAACAACUGUUUACUUUCAGUUUGUGUUUAUCGUGUCUUUCGAUGUAAAAUCUAGAGACAUUCCGAAAUCCUGCACUUGUGUCAACUCGGCCAAUAUAGAAUAACUCGGCCAAUACAGAAAAAAAUCUAUAUUGGCCGAGUUAUUCUGUAUUGGCCCAGUUUACACAUUAUAUUGCAUUGGCAGUUUUCAUCAUAUUAAGUCCAAUAACAGUGUAGUUAGUUAAUAAUCUUCUUUAUU